rnacentral:rRNA from 1 species
AGUGAACGCUGGCGGUAGGCCUAACACAUGCAAGUCGAACGGCAGCACAGUAAGAGCUUGCUCUUACGGGUGGCGAGUGGCGGACGGGUGAGGUAUACAUCGGAAUCUACUUUUUCGUGGGGGAUAACGUAGGGAAACUUACGCUAAUACCGCAUACGACCUACGGGUGAAAGCAGGGGAUCUUCGGACCUUGCGCGAUUGAAUGAGCCGAUGUCGGAUUAGCUAGUUGGCGGGGUAAAGGCCCACCAAGGCGACGAUCCGUAGCUGGUCUGAGAGGAUGAUCGGCGGCACUGGAAGUGGGACACGGUCCAGACUCCUACGGGAGGCAGCAGAGGGGAAUAUUGGGCAAUGGGCGCAAGCCUGAUCCAGCCAUACCGCGUGGGUGAAGAAGGCCUUCGGGUUGUAAAGCCCUUUUGUUGGGAAAGAAAAGCAGCAGGUUAAUACCCCGCUGUUCUGACGGUACCCAAAGAAUAAGCACCGGCUAACUUCGUG